rnacentral:lncRNA from 1 species
GCGUCUCCAUCGUAUAUCCAGGUCAUUUUCAUUAUGCUUUGGUAAGCCUUCCGGCUUUAAGGUGCUAAGAUUAAUAGGAUGUUAAAGUCCGACCAUUUUCCUACUAUUUGGAAGGUCAAGUGUAUGAACAACUUUUAUGCACCCAGGCUUUUUGGAUAUGUAAAAGCACACAAGGUGCCCAUAAGCAUAAGACCUAUGGUGGACAAAACACCGUCCCUGAUUUAUUGGCUAGAAAAGAUAAUAGCAGCCUGGGCUACACAACAACUUAAGGGCUACCAGCACGUAGUAACUUCCUCCUUAGAAUUUCUUAAUAACUUACUGGAAGUAGGGUCCCCUUCCAGAGGAGUCUUAUGCAGUA